CCCUUAGAUGUUCUGGGCCGCACACGCGCUACACUGAAGGAGGCAGCGUGUACUCCUGGAUCGAAAGAUUUGGGUAACCCGCGAAUCUCCUUCGUGCUAGGGAUUGAGGUUUGCAAUUAUCCUUCAUGAACGAGGAAUUCCCAGUAAGUGCAAGCCAUAAGCUUGCGCUGACUACGUCCCUGCCCUUUGUACACACCGCCCGUCGCUACUACCGAUUGAAUGAUUUAGUGAGGACUUCGGACUGGGACCGAUGCGGCUUUCGGGCUGCGUCGGUAUUCUGGAAAGAUGUCCAAACUGUAUCAUUUAGAGGAAGUAAAAGUCGUAACA
rnacentral:rRNA from 1 species